GACGAACGCUGGCGGCGUGCUUAACACAUGCAAGUCGAACGGAAAGGCCCUGCUUGCAGGGUACUCGAGUGGCGAACGGGUGAGUAACACGUGGGUGAUCUGCCCUGCACUUCGGGAUAAGCCUGGGAAACUGGGUCUAAUACCGGAUAGGAGCCAUUUUUAGUGUGAUGGUUGGAAAGUUUUUUCGGUGUAGGAUGAGCUCGCGGCCUAUCAGCUUGUUGGUGGGGUAAUGGCCUACCAAGGCGGCGACGGGUAGCCGGCCUGGGAGGGUGGACGGCCACAUUGGGACUGAGGGACGGCCCAGACUCCGACGGGAGGCAGCAGGGGGGAAGAUUGCACAAUGGGCGCAAGCCUGAUGCAGCGACGCCGCGGGGGGGAUGACGGCCUUCGGGUUGUAAACUCCUUUCGCUAGGGACGAAGCUUUUUGUGACGGUACCUAGAUAAGAAGCACCGGCUAACUACGUG
rnacentral:rRNA from 1 species